CACGUAGGGGGGCAAGCGUUGUCCGGAUUUAUUGGGCGUAAAGAGCUCGUAGGCGGUUUCGUAGGUCGGGUGUGAAAACUCUAGGCUCAACCUAGAGACGCCACCCGAUACUGCGAUGACUAGAGUCCGGUAGGGGGAGUGUGGAAUUCCUGGUGUAGCGGUGAAAUGCGCAGAUAUCAGGAGGAACACCAACGGCGAAGGCAGCACUCUGGGCCGGAACUGACGCUGAGGAGCGAAAGCGUGGGUAGCGAACAGG
rnacentral:rRNA from 1 species